GCUCUGUCUGCCACUUCCAGGGAUGCAGUACCUCCACUGAAGGAGGAGAGCAAGCUGAUGUGGCUGACUAGGAACUACAGGACUGCUCAUGUUUGUUAAGUCUUGGUUUCGGCAGAGCCUCAAUCUGGCUGCUGGCUUUUGGACCUCUGAAGAUGCUGCUGUGCUUGGACUCAGUGUGACUCUCCUCUCAGAAGAAGAGCAGCAUUAUGCUGCACCAACACUAUGCUGUCCACAUCUGGAUGCCACAGUGGAAAUGAGCUGAGUGCACAGUGAACUUUAUUGCUGCAGAGAACCUGCCAGAACUCAUCACACCUUGUAGCUGACACCUUCCUGUGCCAAGCUCAGGUCUUCUCUAUUUGUUUCCUUGAACCUUUCAAGAGUUCCAGCCUGACCACACUUGUGUUGUACUAUGGAGUGCCUAGAAAAUAUAGAUGCCCUAAAAACUGAAAUUUCCCCAACGCCUGGAGACAUUUGGAAGGAGGAGCUCACCUAUGCUGAACAAAUCCUUUAUGUUACCACAUCAGCCGUGAUGAAACCAAGGCAGAUCAAUGUUCACAAGGGAUUUACCAGUGUGCCAGCUGCUGCCAACAACCCCGGUGCUCUGGGACUCAAACAGCACUAAGGAGUCGCCCUGCUGAGGGCCACAGCAUCUGCAGCUGCCUCAGGUCGUGCUGCUGCUGUUGUGCGUCUGAGUGCCCGUGCUAGAAAUGAAAAGAUUCAAAGAAUUGUGACACCAAGGAAAGGCCCAAAGCUGCACUCUGCUCCUGACAGCUUCUCUUCAAGGCACCGUUUUCCCCUGAGCAUGUUCCAGUGUCUCUGCACUCCCUGCCCACUGCAGCAGCUGGGGCCAGCCAAAGCAGGCUUGCCUAGCCUGGUGUUCCUGCUGGGAGCUUCUCACAGCACAAGCAACCUCCUCUCCAGCACAUCACAGGUGUUCUCCACAUGAUGGGAGCAGAUUCAGCAUUGCCUGUGGUUCCCUUUGUUCCCUGCAUCCCUUCCCAGCAAAGACACGGCGUGGCGGAGGCCUGACCCCAGGUGUUGUCUGGGAGAGGAAAUUCUGCAAAUCCACUCUGAACUCAGGAAAGAGAGGUUCUACCAGGUUUUCUGAGCUGAGAGAAAAUGCAAAAGGCUCCCCUCUGCAAUCGUGCCGGAUUGAGCAUUACCAGGAAAUGCAGAAAUGUGGAGCCAGACUGGUACUGAGCAGUACAAGACUGAAGAUCUUUCUGUUAGUGGGUCUCACUCAGCACCAUCAGCUGAUAUCGCUUAAAGAGGUGCCAUGGUGAGGUUCACUGCAAAGCACAGGUGGAGAUAAAAAGGCUUUCUUUGGGAGUCAAGCAGCACGGAGGAGCUGGAGCCUUGGCAGGAGCAGGAGGUGCCCAGAGAAGCUCUGCAAGUGGUGAGUGCCCUCACUGCUCUGUCACCAGCAGUCCCUGGGAGCCAUCAGCACCCACCAGCAGUUCCCUGAGAUAAGGCUGAGCCAGCUGGGAGCAGAAAGCCUUUGAUAUUCCUGCCUUGCUGAUUGAUAAAGACAAAGUGAUGUUGGUGGUGUUACCUGAUUCCUGACGUCUCUAAUUACACUAGUGCCAGCAUAUCCUCUGCUGCUGGAGAGGGCAGGGACGGAGAUGGACCCAGCCCAGCGCGUGGAAAUGGAUCUCUCCAGCUGAACGCUCAGGUGAAGCGAGCAGAGAGCGUGCCCAGCAUGAACCAGGUGACCUGCACAUCUCCAGGGCAGAGCAACACGGGAGCAGCAGGGAGAGGUGGCUUUGUCCUGGAGGAUCCAGGAGCUCGGGGUGGAUAUCUGAGCCUGCAGCUCCAGGCUGCCGCAGGACCCAAGGGCUGCACACACCCAGAGCGUACAGGUUCGCUCGUAUUGUAAUUUGCAAAUGGCAUGGCAAAUGCCACGAGAGCAGCUGGUGAAGGUGGCUCAGAAGCAAUGACAAGAAUGUGCUGCAAAGUUGGGUCCAGCAGUCCAGCUUCCCGACACGCCAAUUCUGAAGCACUGAGCAGAGAUCUGCCCGGGAGGCAGAGCAGAGCCGAUCUCUGAGAGCUGACACGAGAGCUCUGGUGAGGACAGCUGCUCCCCUGCCUCGGUGUGGGACCUGCUCAGCUGCCAUUCCUGUGGUGGGAGUGUUUCUCCUCUCAUCCAGCCAAGCCAGAGACCUCCUAGGGAAGGAGCAGACUCAUCACGGCAGGACAGCGUGAAGACUGAAAGUGUAAGAAGAUGUGGAGGGAAACAGAGAAUCUGACAGGAGCAUCGGACGCACGAGUGCACGAAUUUUGCUUUUUGCUUGGAUGUAAACUCAGGAGUUGAAAGGAAUUUGGGAGUGAGAAGGGACAUUUUAGAAGGAGAAGAAGAAAAAGAAGUUGUUGUUAUUACAGUCCUGGCAAAAUCUUUUGUUCUAGGUAAUAAAAGAAAGUUUAAAAAACAAAAAGAAAAAAA